UUUCCGUAGGUGAACCUGCGGAAGGAUCAUUAAAGAGAAUAUGCCCUUCGGGGUAGAUCUCCCACCCUUUGUUUAUAUUACCUUUGUUGCUUUGGCAGGCCCGUCUUCGGACCACCGGCUUCGGCUGGUCAGUGCUUGCCAGAGGACCCAAAACUCUUAUUAUUAAUGCCGUCUGAGUACUAUAUAAUAGUUAAAACUUUCAACAACGGAUCUCUUGGUUCUG
rnacentral:misc_RNA from 1 species